CAACGCUGCCUUCAAGUGUGGCACUGUUGGGAUGGGCUGUUGCAUUCGGGUGUCGCAUUGGGAUCGGGUGUCGCAUUCAGGUGUUGUUGCAUGGGGAUCCAAUGUUACGCUCUUGGGAUGGGGUGUUGUUUCGGGAUCCGACGCUGCCUUCAAGAGUCGCACUGUUGGGAUCGGGUGUUGCGUUCGGGUUUUGCUGUUGGGAUGGGGCGUUGUGUCGGGAUCCGAUGCCGCCUUCAAGUGUCGCGCUGUUGGGAUGGGGUGUUGCUGCUGGGAUCCGAUGUUACACUGUUGGGAUGGGGUGUCGCAUUCGGGUGUCUCCUCGGGAUGGGGUGUCGCGUUCGGGUGUCGUCGCGUCGGGUUGCGCUGUCCGGGGGCGUCGGGUCACCAGGACCCGGCGUCAACGUUCGGGUGUCGCGUCGCCGGGCUCCCGCCUGACGUUAGCGCCGCGUGCGGGUGUCGGGGCGGNUGUGAUGGGGAGCAGGAGCGGGUGUCGCGUUGUUCGGAUCCCGUCUUGCGUUCGGGUGUUGCGUCGCGAUCCCACGUUGUGUUCGGGUGUUGUGUUGUUGUGAUCCCACGUUGCGUUCGGGUGUUGUGUCAGGAUCCCACGUUGCAUUCAGGUGUUGUGUUGUUGUGA
rnacentral:lncRNA from 1 species